AGUGGAUGGGGAGCAACCUAGUUGUGCGUGUGUAAAGGUAGUGCCAAGAAAAGCGAUGAUCAUGUUGAAAAUCAAUUCCCGGUACCCGAAACCGACACAGGUGGGCAAGUAGAGAAUACUAAGGGGCGCGAGGUAACUCUCUCCAAGGAACUCGGCAAAAUGACCCCGUAACUUAGGGAGAAGGGGUGCCACCGAGAGGUGGUCGCAGUGAAGAGGCCCAGGCGACUGUUUAGCAAAAACAUAGGUCUCUGCAAACUCGAAAGAGGAGGUAUAGGGGCUGACGCCUGCCCAGUGCCGGAAGGUUAAAGAAGUUGGUCAGUUUUAGGAUGAAGCUAGCGACUGAAGCCCCGGUGAACGGCGGCCGUAACUAUAACGGUCCUAAGGUAGCGAAAUUCCUUGUCGGGUAAGUUCCGACCCGCACGAAAGGCGUAACGAUCUGGGCGCUGUCUCGGAGAGAGGCUCGGCGAAAUAGGAUUGUCUGUGAAGAUACGGACUACCUGCAUUUGGACAGAAAGACCCUAUGAAGCUUUACUAUAGCUUGGAAUUGUGUUCGGGCUUCCUGUGCGCAGGAUAGGUGGGAGGCGUAGAAGGUAUUCUUGUGGGGAUACUGGAGCCAACGGUGAGAUACCACUCUCAGGAGGCUAGAAUUCUAACUUAAUUAAGGACAGUUUCAGGUGGGUAGUUUGACUGGGGCGGUCGCCUCCAAAAAGGUAACGGAGGCGUACAAAGGUUCCCUCAGACUGGUUGGAAAUCAGUCGAAGAGUGCAAAGGCAGAAGGGAGCUUGACUGCGAGAAGUACAGUUCGAGCAGGGUGGAAACACGGUCUUAGUGAUCCGACGGUGCUGUGUGGAAGGGCCGUCGCUCAACGGAUAAAAGUUACUCUAGGAUAACAGGCUGAUCUCCCCCAAGAGUUCACAUCGACGGGGAGGUUUGGCACCUCGAUGUCGGCUCAUCGCAACCUGGGGCGGAAGUACGUCCCAAGGGUUGGGCUGUUCGCCCAUUAAAGCGGUACGUGAGCUGGGUUCAGAACGUCGUGAGACAGUUCGGUCCAUAUCCGAUGUAGGCGUGAGAAUAUUGAGAGGAGCCUUCCUUAGUACGAGAGGACCGGGAAGGACGCACCACUGGUGUACCUGUUAUGAUGCCAAUUGUAAACGCAGGGUAGCCUAGUGCGGAGAGGAUAACCGCUGAAAGCAUCUAAGUGGGAAGCCCACCUCAAGAUGAGUAUUCUGGUGUAAGGUCACGGGAAGACGACCCGUAAAUAGGCACGAGGUGGAAGUGCAGAGAUGUAUGAAGCCGAAGUGUACUAAUAGACCGUCGGCUUGACC
rnacentral:rRNA from 1 species